rnacentral:lncRNA from 1 species
GUUGAUUAUAGAAAAAUCAACGCUGGUACUAGAAAAGAUCAUUUUCCAUUACCAUUUAUUGAUCAAAUGUUGGAAAGGUUGGCUGGUCGUGCUUUCUACUGUUUCUUGGAUGGCUAUUCAGGGUACAACCAGAUUCCAGUUGCCCCUGAGGAUCAAGAAAAGACAACCUUUACUUGUCCUUUUGGGACUUUCGCAUAUAGAAGAAUGCCUUUUGGUUUGUGCAAUGCACCUGCCACAUUUCAACGUUGCAUGAUGAGCAUAUUUACCGGGUUAGUUGAGCAUGUAGUUGAGGUAUUUAUGGAUGACUUUUCUGUUUUUGGGGAUUCUUUUGACCAAUGUUUGCAGAAUUUAUCUCUAGUUCUGGAAAGAUGCAUUAAGACCAACCUGGUUUUAAACUGGGAAAAGUGUCACUUCAUGGUUAGGCAGGGUAUUGUCUUGGGCCACUUGAUUUCUAACAGGGGUAUUGAAGUUGAUAGGGCUAAAAUUGAUGCAAUUGAAAAGAUGCCACCCCCGACAACUGUUAAGAGUGUUCGAUCUUUUCUUGGCCAUGCUGGGUUUUAUAGACGGUUCAUCAAGGAUUUCUCCAAGAUUAGCCGACCCUUGUGUAAUUUGUUGGCGAAAGAUGCUCCUUUUAUUUUUGAUGAGGCUUGUUUGGAGGCCUUCAAGAAGUUAAAGACUCUCCUCACUACAGCACCCAUUAUUGCAGCUCCUGAUUGGAGCCUACCUUUUGAACUGAUGUGUGACGCAUCAGACUGUGCAGUGGGGGCAGUUCUUGGACAGCGAAAAGAUAGACUUCCCCAAGUUAUUUAUUAUGCUAGUCGAACCCUCAAUGAUGCACAACUAAAUUAUGCGACAACAGAGAAGGAAUUGUUGGCAAUUGUUUUUGCUUUGGAAAAAUUUCGUUCGUAUUUAGUUGGGGCUAGAGUGAUUGUUUAUACAGAUCAUGCAGCUUUGAAAUAUUUGUUGACUAAAAAAGAUGCUAAGCCUCGAUUGAUUCGUUGGAUUCUUUUAUUGCAAGAGUUUGACUUAGAAAUCAAAGAUAAAAAGGGCAGUGAAAAUGUGGUGGCUGACCACUUGUCCAGAUUGAUUAUUCCAACAGCUUCAGAAGAGGAUUCCCUACCACUGAGGGAUAGUUUUCCAGAUGAACAGCUAUUUGCAGUCCAAUUCUGUACAACAUGGUUUGCUGAUAUGGUUAAUUAUUUGGUUAAAGGGGUAGUGCAUCCAGAUUUAACUAUUCAGUAGAAAAAGAAGUUUUUAUCUGAUGUGAAGCAUUAUUUCUGGGAUGAGCCAUACCUAUUUAAGUAUUGCCCAGACCAGAUUAUUCGCAGAUGUAUUCCUGAAGCCGAACAAGAAAGUGUAUUAAGGUUUUGCUCAUCAUUUUGCUUGUGGAGGACAUUUUGGGCAGAAAAGAACGGCAGAAAAAAUUUUGCAAAGUGGGUUAUUUUGGCCUACACUUUUUAAAGAUGCAUAUAAUUGGUGCAAGGCUUGUGAUAGGUGUCAAAGGGUCGGCAACCAGUCCAAAAGGAAUGAGAUGCCCCAGCAAAGUAUUUUGAUUGUUGAAUUAUUUGAUGUGUGGGGUAUUGAUUUCAUGGGACCAUUUCCAUCUUCCCAUGGGAAUCAAUAUAUUUUAGUCGCUGUGGAGUAUGUUUCUAAGUGGGUCGAGGCCAUAGCAGCACCAACUAAUCAGGGAUCAGUGGUCCUGAGAUUCCUCCAAGGGGUUAUAUUUCCGCGUUUUGGAAUUCCACGCGUUAUUCUUAGUGAUGGGGGAAAGCACUUUAUUAAUAAAUCAUUUGCUAAUUUAUUGGCAAAAUAUGGGAUUAAUCAUCGUGUGGCUACACCUUAUCAUCCACAGACAUCUGGUCAAGUGGAAGUUUCAAACAGAGAAUUAAAACGCAUUUUGGAGAAAACAGUUGGUUCAACACGAAAAGAUUGGAGUUUAAAAUUAAAUGAUGCAUUGUGGGCCUACAGGACAGCUUUUAAAAACUCCUAUUUGGAUGUCACCAUUUCGACUCGUUUAUGGGAAAGCAUGUCAUCUACCUAUGGAGCUUGAGCAUAAGGCAUUCUGGGCAAUUAAAGAGUUAAAUUUUUCAUAUGACUCAGCUGGGGAACAACGUAAAUUGCAGCUCAAUGAGUUGGAGAAA